rnacentral:sRNA from 1 species
UCACGCAUAAUUUCGGUUCGCCAUACGUG